rnacentral:lncRNA from 10 species
CGGCGACCCAAGAAUUUGAAAGAGUCGCGGAAAACUGCACUCAUCAUAGAGCAUCUGAAGGUUCCUAGAGGGAGCUGUGAACGGUUAACAAAAAACACGGCCAUGGGGUCCCCUGGUGGCGUUUUGAAGGGCGACCCCUCCCCUACCCCAGCGCGGCCUGUGGCUCUUUGUUUACAAUUUCAUAAAGGCGAAAAAUAAAAUGUAGGAAUGAGUGGCAUCACAGUACCUUUGUUGAGUAUUUUUUUCUUUUUCUUUUUACUAUGGAAUCUUUCCAGCGAAGUUAAGUACUUUUUAAAAGGUGUGUCUAAUUAUUCCACAGUGAGCACAUGUUAAUGAAAAAGGUUUAGUGUCUAAACGUAGAAAUAGGAAAUCCUCCGGAACUGAAAGAACAGGCUGGAGGGGACCGAACAGAGCCUGGCACGUGCUCCAGGAGCGCCUCGGGGGCUGAGCGCUGGUAGAGGCGGCCUCUGUCUCCCGAUCACUCUGCAACACAACGGGAUGCCCACCUAGCCUGAGGAUGCCAAGUGGACACAGGAAGCCAGCGUGGCCACACAGCAAUGAGGAAGCACAGGACCCCUCAUCCCCUCCCAGGGGCUUCUUUCAACAAGUUACAAAUACAAAGACAGGUAAGGAACUUGGAAAGGCGUUUCUGCUGGGAGGCUCUACCGUAUUUGGUUCUCUGGCCUGAAACUGUCAUAGAGAGAACUCGAAGGUGGCCCCUAAGAUUCCCACCCGGCGCACACGCCCUGUAGACCACCUGCCUAUGAGUGAACGUGAUGGCAUGUCACUCCCACAACCAUGCCACAUUUUACGGAACAAAGGAUUGCGCAGCUGUGAUUGAGGUUCCUGGUCAGUUGAUUUUGAUAAAUCAAAAGGGAGAUUAUCCUGGGUGGGCCUGACUUAAUCAGGUGAGCCCUUUAAAAGAAGGUGGAGUUCCAGAAACACCGUGCACCGCUGGCCUCAAGGAAAGGGGCCUCUGGUUGCCAAGAGUGGCCCUCAGCUGACAGCCAACAAGCAAACAGGAGAUUUCAGUCCCACAGCCACAAAGAAAUGCAUUUUGUCAACAACCAGGGAGGCUGGAAGAGAACCCCCCUGCCUCAGAUGAGGCUGCAGCAAUGGCCAACAUUGUGAUGUCACCUGCUGCGGUAUCAGUAGAAGAUCUUGCUAACUUGUACUCCACAAAAAGCGAGAUAAUAAAUCUGUGCUGUCUUAAGACACUAAGUGUGUGGUAAUUUGUUACACACCAGUAAAAUCUAAAACAAUAGCCUUUCCAACUAAGAAAGUCAUGUUUUAAGAAACAAUUUUCAUACAGAUAUAUCUGUACUGUGUAAAGAUUUCAUAUGUACAGAGAUCUUAAGUGCGCAUGGAAUUGAAUACACGUGUGUACCUAUCAUCCAGAUCGAAAAGGAACAUUUCCAGCAUUACAAAAAAUUCCUCAUGUCCCUUGCAAGUCAGUACCUGCACCUCCUUCUCCCAAGUGACAGGAUUUUUAACUUCUGUCACC